GAUGAACGCUGGCGGCGUGCUUAACACAUGCAAGUCGAACGGAAAGGCCCAAGCUUGCUUGGGUACUCGAGUGGCGAACGGGUGAGUAACACGUGGGUGAUCUGCCCUGCACUUCGGGAUAAGCCUGGGAAACUGGGUCUAAUACCGGAUAGGACCACAUUUUGGAUGGUGUGGUGGAAAGGUUUUCGGUGUGGGAUGAGCUCGCGGCCUAUCAGCUUGUUGGUGGGGUAAUGGCCUACCAAGGCGUCGACGGGUAGCCGGCCUGAGAGGGUGUACGGCCACAUUGGGACUGAGAUACGGCCCAGACUCCUACGGGAGGCAGCAGUGGGGAAUAUUGCACAAUGGGCGCAAGCCUGAUGCAGCGACGCCGCGUGGGGGAUGACGGCCUUCGGGUUGUAAACUCCUUUCGCUAGGGACGAAGCGUUUUUGUGACGGUACCUGGAGAAGAAGCACCGGCUAACUACGU
rnacentral:rRNA from 1 species